rnacentral:rRNA from 1 species
GAUAUCAGAUUAGCUAGUUGGUGAGGUAAAAGCUCACCAAGGCGACGAUCUGUAGCGGGUCUGAGAGGAUGAUCCGCCACACUGGAACUGAGACACGGUCCAGACUCCUACGGGGGGCAGCAGUGGGGAAUUUUGGACAAUGGGGGCAACCCUGAUCCAGCCAUGCCGCGUGAGUGAAGAAGGCCUUCGGGUUGUAAAGCUCUUUCAGCCGGGAAGAAAACGCACGGGUUAAUACCCUGUGUGGAUGACCGUACCGGAAUAAGAAGCACCGGCUAACUACGUGCCAGCAGCCGCGGUAAUACGUAGGGUGCGAGCGUUAAUCGGAAUUACUGGGCGUAAAGCGUGCGCAGGCGGUUUGGUAAGAUAGGCGUGAAAUCCCCGGGCUUAACCUGGGAACUGCGUUUAUGACUGCCAGGCUAGAGUACGGCAGAGGGGGGUGGAAUUCCACGUGUAGCAGUGAAAUGCGUAGAGAUGUGGAGGAACACCAAUGGCGAAGGCAGCCCCCUGGGUCGAUACUGACGCUCAUGCACGAAAGCGUGGGUAGCAAACAGAAUUAGAUACCCUGGUAGUCCACGCCCUAAACGAUGUCAACUAGGUGUUGGGAGGGUAAAACCUUUUAGUACCGUAGCUAACGCGAGAAGUUGACCGCCUGGGGAGUACGGCCGCAAGGUUAAAACUCAAAGGAAUUGACGGGGACCCGCACAAGCGGUGGAUGAUGUGGAUUAAUUCGAUGCAACGCGAAAAACCUUACCUACCCUUGACAUGUCAGGAACUUGCCAGAGAUGGCUUGGUGCCCGAAAGGGAACCUGAACACAGGUGCUGCAUGGCUGUCGUCAGCUCGUGUCGUGAGAUGUUGGGUUAAGUCCCGCAACGAGCGCAACCCUUGUCGUUAAUUGCCAUCAUUCAGUUGGGCACUUUAACGAGACUGCCGGUGACAAACCGGAGGAAGGUGGGGAUGACGUCAAGUCCUCAUGGCCCUUAUGGGUAGGGCUUCACACGUCAUACAAUGGUCGGUACAAAGGGUCGCCAACCCGCGAGGGGGAGCCAAUCCCAGAAAGCCGAUCGUAGUCCGGAUUGCAGGCUGCAACUCGCCUGCAUGAAGUCGGAAUCGCUAGUAAUCGUGGAUCAGCAUGUCACGGUGAAUACGUUCCCGGGUCUUGUACACACCGCCCGUCACACCAUGGGAGCGGGUUCCGCCAGAAGUAGGUAGCCUAACCGCAAGGAGGGCGCUUACCACGGCGGGGCUCGUGACUGGGGUGAAGUCGAAACAAGGUAGCCGUAGGGGAACCUGCGGCUG